AGACCCGAAACCCGGUGAUCUAGCCAUGGGCAGGUUGAAGGUUGGGUAACACUAACUGGAGGACCGAACCGACUAAUGUUGAAAAAUUAGCGGAUGACCUGUGGCUGGGGGUGAAAGGCCAAUCAAACCGGGAGAUAGCUGGUUCUCCCCGAAAGCUAUUUAGGUAGCGCCUCGUGAAUUCAUCUCCGGGGGUAGAGCACUGUUUCGGCUAGGGGGCCAUCCCGGCUUACCAACCCGAUGCAAACUGCGAAUACCGGAGAAUGUUAUCACGGGAGACACACGGCGGGUGCUAACGUCCGUCGUGAAGAGGGAAACAACCCAGACCGCCAGCUAAGGUCCCAAAGUCAUGGUUAAGUGGGAAACGAUGUGGGAAGGCCCAGACAGCCAGGAUGUUGGCUUAGAAGCAGCCAUCAUUUAAAGAAAGCGUAAUAGCUCACUGGUCGAGUCGGCCUGCGCGGAAGAUGUAACGGGGCUAAACCAUGCACCGAAGCUGCGGCAGCGACGCUUAUGCGUUGUUGGGUAGGGGAGCGUUCUGUAAGCCUGUGAAGGUGGCCUGUGAG
rnacentral:rRNA from 1 species